rnacentral:rRNA from 1 species
GUUGUAUAGUCAAGUAAUUAAGUGCAUGUGGUGGAUGCCUUGGCAGUCAGAGGCGAUGAAAGACGUGAUAGCCUGCGAAAAGCUCCGGGGAGGCGGCAAAUAUCCUUUGAUCCGGAGAUGUCUGAAUGGGGGAACCCACCUACUUUAAGGUAGGUAUUGCAACAUGAAUACAUAGUGUUGCAAGGCGAACGAGGGGAAGUGAAACAUCUCAGUACCCUUAGGAAAAGAAAUCAAUUGAGAUUCCCUCAGUAGCGGCGAGCGAACGGGGAUCAGCCCAUUAAGUUAUGUGUGUUUUAGUGGAACGCUCUGGGAAGUGCGAACGUAGAGGGUGAUAUUCCCGUACACGAAAGGGCACACAUAAUGAUGACGAGUAGGGCGAGGCACGUGAAACCUUGUCUGAAUAUGGGGGGACCAUCCUCCAAGGCUAAAUACUCCUGACUGACCGAUAGUGAACCAGUACCGUGAGGGAAAGGCGAAAAGAACCCCUGUGAGGGGAGUGAAAUAGAUCCUGAAACCGCAUGCAUACAAGCAGUGGGAGCACCUUCGUGGUGUGACUGCGUACCUUUUGUAUAAUGGGUCAGCGACUUAUAUUCAGUAGCAAGGUUAACCGUAUAGGGGAGCCGUAGAGAAAUCGAGUCUUAAUAGGGCGUUUAGUUGCUGGGUAUAGACCCGAAACCAGGCGAUCUAUCCAUGAGCAGGUUGAAGGUUGGGUAACACUAACUGGAGGACCGAACCCACUGUCGUUGAAAAGCCAGGGGAUGACUUGUGGAUAGGGGUGAAAGGCUAAUCAAGCCUGGUGAUAGCUGGUUCUCCCCGAAAGCUAUUUAGGUAGCGCCUCGGACGAAUACCAUAGGGGGUAGAGCACUGUUUCGGCUAGGGGGUCAUCCCGACUUACCAAACCGAUGCAAACUCCGAAUACCUAUGAGUACUAUCCGGGAGACAGACUGCGGGUGCUAACGUCCGUAGUCAAGAGGAAAACAAUCCAGACCGCCAGCUAAGGCCCCAAAAUCAUAGUUAAGUGGGAAACGAUGUGGGAAGGCAUAGACAGCUAGGAGGUUGGCUUAGAAGCAGCCACCCUUUAAAGAAAGCGUAAUAGCUCACUAGUCGAGUCGGCCUGCGCGGAAGAUGUAACGGGGCUAAAACUAUGUGCCGAAGCUGCGGAUNNNNNNNNNNNNNNNNNNNNNNNNNNNNNNNNNNNNNNNNNNNNNNNNNNNNNNNNNNNNNNNNNNNNNNNNNNNNNNNNNNNNAUGCUGGAGGUAUCAGAAGUGCGAAUGCUGACGUGAGUAACGACAAAACGGGUGAAAAACCCGUUCGCCGAAAGACCAAGGGUUCCAGUCCAACGUUAAUCGGGGCUGGGUGAGUCGACCCCUAAGGCGAGGCCGAAAGGCGUAGUCGAUGGGAAAAUGGUUAAUAUUCCAUUACUUCUGUGUAAUGCGAUGAGAGGACGGAGAAGGCUAAAUCAGCCUGGCGUUGGUUGUCCAGGUGAAAGGAUGUAGGCAUGUAUCUUAGGCAAAUCCGGGGUACUCUAUGCUGAGAUCUGAUAGCAAGCUGUACUUGUACAGCGAAGUGGUUGAUGCCAUGCUUCCAGGAAAAGUCUCUAAGCUUCAGUUACACAGGAAUCGUACCCGAAACCGACACAGGUGGUCAGGUCGAGUAGACCAAGGCGCUUGAGAGAACUCUGCUGAAGGAACUAGGCAAAAUGGUACCGUAACUUCGGGAGAAGGUACGCUGUUGUUGGUGAUGGAACUCGCUUCCUGAGCUGACGACAGCCGCAGAAACCAGGCCGCUGCAACUGUUUAUUAAAAACAUAGCACUCUGCAAACACGAAAGUGGACGUAUAGGGUGUGAUGCCUGCCCGGUGCUGGAAGGUUAAUUGAUGGGGUUAGCGUAAGCGAAGCUCUUGAUCGAAGCCCCAGUAAACGGCGGCCGUAACUAUAACGGUCCUAAGGUAGCGAAAUUCCUUGUCGGGUAAGUUCCGACCUGCACGAAUGGCAUAAUGAUGGCGGCGCUGUCUCCAGCAGAGGCUCAGUGAAAUCGAAAUCGCUGUGAAGAUGCAGUGUACCCGCGGCUAGACGGAAAGACCCCGUGAACCUUUACUGCAGCUUGACACUGAACUUUGACCUUACUUGUGUAGGAUAGGUGGGAGGCUUUGAAGCUGGAACGCUAGUUCCAGUGGAGCCGUCCUUGAAAUACCACCCUGGUAAUGUUGAGGUUCUAACUCUGUCCCGUGAUCCGGGACGAGGACCGUGUCUGGUGGGUAGUUUGACUGGGGCGGUCUCCUCCUAAAGAGUAACGGAGGAGUACGAAGGUGCGCUCAGCGUGGUCGGAAAUCACGCGUAGAGUAUAAAGGCAAAAGCGCGCUUAACUGCGAGACCCACAAGUCGAGCAGGUACGAAAGUAGGUCUUAGUGAUCCGGUGGUUCUGUAUGGAAGGGCCAUCGCUCAACGGAUAAAAGGUACUCUGGGGAUAACAGGCUGAUACCGCCCAAGAGUUCAUAUCGACGGCGGUGUUUGGCACCUCGAUGUCGGCUCAUCUCAUCCUGGGGCUGAAGCAGGUCCCAAGGGUAUGGCUGUUCGCCAUUUAAAGAGGUACGCGAGCUGGGUUUAGAACGUCGUGAGACAGUUCGGUCCCUAUCUACCGUGGGCGCUGGAAAUUUGAGAGGAUCUGCUCCUAGUACGAGAGGACCAGAGUGGACGAACCUCUGGUGUACCGGUUGUGACGCCAGUCGCAUCGCCGGGUAGCUAUGUUCGGAAGGGAUAACCGCUGAAAGCAUCUAAGCGGGAAGCCUACCUCAAGAUAAGAUUUCCCUAGGACUUUAUGUCCUCUAAAGAGCCGUUCGAGACUAGGACGUUGAUAGGUUGGAUGUGGAAGCAUAGUGAUAUGUGAAGCUGACCAAUACUAAUUGCUCGUGAGGCUUGACUAUACAACACCCAAGCAGUUG